rnacentral:rRNA from 1 species
AUUGAACGCUGGCGGCAGGCUUAACACAUGCAAGUCGAGCGUGAAAGGGCUUCGGCCUGAGUAAAGCGGCGGACGGGUGAGUAACGCGUAGGACUCUACCUGGUAGUGGGGGAUAACGUGCCGAAAGUUACGCUAAUACCGCAUACGAUCUGAGGAUGAAAGCGGGGGACCGUAAGGCCUCGCGCGAUCGGAGCGGCCGAUGUCAGAUUAGGUAGUUGGUGGGGUAAAGGCCUACCAAGCCGACGAUCUGUAGCUGGUCUGAGAGGACGACCAGCCACACUGGGACUGAGACACGGCCCAGACUCCUACGGGAGGCAGCAGUGGGGAAUUUUGGACAAUGGGCGCAAGCCUGAUCCAGCAAUGCCGCGUGCAGGAAGAAGGCCUUCGGGUUGUAAACUGCUUUUGUACGGAGCGAAAAGGCCCCCUCUAAUACGGGGGGUUGAUGACGGUACCGUAAGAAUAAGCACCGGCUAACUACGUGCCAGCAGCCGCCGUAAAAC